rnacentral:snoRNA from 1 species
CCCCUCUCAGGAUGGCACCUGGAGAGUUUCCAGUACUCUACCGGUCUCGGCUACGGGAGGGAGAGUCAAGCAGAGGCCUAUCCAUCCCAUUCCUAGCUCGGGCAGAGCUAGCGACUGGAAGGCCAUCUGCUACCAGU